rnacentral:rRNA from 1 species
AGGGNGCAAGCGUUACUCGGAAUUACUGGGCGUAAAGCGUGCGUAGGNGGUUGUUUAAGUCUGUCGUGAAAGCCCUGGGCUCAACCUGGGAAUUGCGAUGGAAACUGGGCGACUAGAGUGUGGCAGAGGGUAGUGGAAUUCCUGGUGUAGCAGUGAAAUGCGUAGAGAUCAGGAGGAACAUCCGUGGCGAAGGCGACUGCCUGGGCCAACACUGACACUGAGGCACGAAAGCGUGGGGAGCAAACAGGAUUAGAUACCCUGGUAGUCCACGCCCUAAACGAUGCGAACUGGAUGUUGGGUGCAAUUUGGCACGCAGUAUCGAAGCUAACGCGUUAAGUUCGCCGCCUGGGGAGUACGGUCGCAAGACU